ACAAUGGGCGAAAGCCUGAUCCAGCAAUGCCGCGUGAGUGAAGAAGGCCUUCGGGUUGUAAAGCUCUUUUACCCGGGAAGAUAAUGACCGUACCGGGAGAAUAAGCCCCGGCUAACUCCGUGCCAGCAGCCGCGGUAAUACGGAGGGGGCUAGCGUUGUUCGGAAUCACUGGGCGUAAAGCGUGCGUAGGCGGCCAUUCAAGUCAGAGGUGAAAGCCCAGGGCUCAACCCUGGAACUGCCUUUGAAACUAGAUGGCUGGAACACGGGAGAGGUGAGUGGAAUUCCGAGUGUAGAGGUGAAAUUCGUAGAUAUUCGGAAGAACACCAGUGGCGAAGGCGGCUCACUGGACCGUUGUUGACGCUGAGGCACGAAAGCGUGGGGAGCAAACAGGAUUAGAUACCCUGGUAGUCCACGCCGUAAACGAUGAUAACUAGCUGUUGGGGCUCUUGGAGCUCCAGUGGCGCAGCUAACGCAUUAAGUUAUCCGCC
rnacentral:rRNA from 1 species